UUGAUUUCACUAGGGGGAGGAGAAACCUUUAUGAAGUAGGUCUGCAGCGGAGCCAACCUUAUCUGCUGCUAUAAUUUUGCCCCAGUUUUUAAAGGCCUCAUUAAAGAGAUCAAGGCCAUGAUUCCACAGUGUUAGGUUACUAUUUUCUACACUAGAAGUCUCCUUUUCUUUUUUAAUUAAUAUUGCCUUUCUCAAGUUUGCUUUUAGACUUUUGAGGUCAUUCAGCUUCAGCGAGAUGUUUCACAAGCAGCAAUUUGUUAAACAAAUACAGUCCUGUAGUGUGAGAGUCUUUGUUUCUUGGCAGUGGAAUUUACACCAUUAGGUACAAAUCACUGGUGUAAGUGCCUCCUGGAUCCACCCUCUGUCAGUCUAUUUCAUGCUGUAUUUUAAUAUUCUGCUAUUGAAUCUUCUGUUUGGCCUUCUGAUGUCUGGGCAAUGCUCUACUUGUUGUCAUCUUUGUCACUCAUUUGGAAGACAAACAUACAGUUUUUGAUUCUGCUAGGAAUUCCCUUAA
rnacentral:lncRNA from 1 species